CUUUUGCAUAAUGAGCCGGCUAGUAGAUGUCACAGGCAAGGUUAAAUGAUAAUUGAGCCGAAGCGAAAGCGAGUCUUAAUAGGGCGUAUAGUCUGUGGUAUCUGGACGUGAAACGGGAUGAUCUAGGCUUGGGCAGGUUGAAGCGUGGGUAACACCACGUGGAGGACCGAACCAGUUAAGGUUGAAAACUUUUUGGAUGACCUGAGCCUAGGGGUGAAAGGCUAAUCAAAUUCCGUGAUAGCUCGUUCUCGUCGAAAUAUCUUUAGGGAUAGCCUCGGAUGUAUCAUUGUGGUGGUAGAGCACUGACUGGACUAGGGGCCUCACAAGGUUACCGAAUUCAAUCAAACUCCGAAUGCCAUAAAUGUCUGUCCGGGAGUCAGACUGCGGGUGCUAAGAUUCGUAGUCGAGAGGGAAAGAGCCCAGAUCAACAGCUAAGGUCCCAAAGUGAUAGUUAAGUGGAAAAGGAAGUGGGGAAGCACUGACAGCCAGGAGGUUUGCUUAGAAGCAGCAAUCCUUUAAAGAAAGCGUAAUAGCUCACUGGUCAAGUAGCCCUGCACCGACAAUAUAACGGGGCUUAAACUAUCCACCGAAGCUUUGAAUGAAUAUUUAUAUUCAUGGUAGACGAGCAUUCUGUAGCUGUGAAGCGGUUCCGUAAGGUCCGUUGGAGCAAUCAGAAAAGACUUUGUCGGCAUUAGUAGCGAUAACGUAUGUGAGAACCAUACGCACCGAAAACCUAAGGUUUCCUGCGUCAAGUUAAUCUGCGCAGGGUUAGUCUGUACCUAAGGCGAGGCCGAAAGGCGUAGUCGAUGGAAAUCCAGUUAAUAUUCUGGAACCAAGGGUAUGUGAUGUGGGUUGACGCACCAGGGUAGUCAAGACAGCCGAUGGAAGUGCUGUUGAAGUAAAUAGGCCGUAGCUUAGGUAAAUCCGGGCUGCACAAGGNNUCUAUACAUACUCCACUGGCAGUACCGCAAACCGACACAGGUAGGUGGGAUGAGAAUUCUAAGGUGCUUGUGAGAACCCUCGUUCAGGAACUCGGCAAAAUGUAACCGUAACUUCGGGAGAAGGUUAGCCGUGUUCACCAAGAACACGGUCGCAGAGAAAUGUUUCAGGCGACUGUUUAACAAAAACACAGGUCUCCGCAAAGUUGUAAAGACAACGUAUGGGGGCUGACGCCUGCCCAAUGCUGGAAGGUUAAAAGGAGUGGUUAGGAGUAAUCCGAAGCUGCGAAUUGAAGCCCCAGUGAAUGGCGGCCGUAACUAUAACGGUCCUAAGGUAGCGAAAUUCCUUGUCGGGU
rnacentral:rRNA from 1 species